CAUGCAAACACACACAUACCAGAUAUUUAUACAAAUAUAUUCCUUUUGCUUUGUACACACGAUAGCCUUAUCAACAAGCAGCCAUACGCUUUGGGCAAUGUAAUUUCUGACUUUUCUCUUUAUACGUUGUGAUAGAGACCACAACUAAAAUAGAGAAGUAAGAUAACAAAGAAUUCAUGGAGUCUAAUUGGUAUAAAAGAUUUCACGACAAAAGGUAUCACAAUUGACCUUCAUGUUUUUCCUUGGAAUUCUGUGCUCCUGACUUUAAACAGAAUAUGCAGUUGCUAUCGCAUUGAAGUCAACUAGGAAGGUUCUACGUCAUCAGUAAACCUUCUAGUGAUAGCAGCAAUAUCUGCUUCAGUUUAUAGCCGAUCAAAUAAAUUUACUAGUUGGUCAUGGCUGGAAUCACUUUGAUCAUUCUGGGGUGUUUGUUCAUGGACGAUCUGUGACGAAACAACAAUAAAUAUAGCAUUCUGAAGCUUAAGAUAUUUAUGCUAAUGAAAAUCGUAGGAUAUUAGGGACAUGAUUGCUGUCCUUUUUUUUUCUUAAUUUAGCUACAGAACUGACAUAGGUUUUAAAGGAAAACCUAAAGUGCAUUCUAAAAUCAAAUUAUCGCAAAGAUCACCAAGCAGAUAAUAAUACAAAUUUCAUGUUGCAUCUUAGAGUGUUAGUAAAAGUAAAAGAGCCAAACAAAACAGCAUCAUAUUAACAUUCGAUCUGUUCUGCCAAGAUGAAGACCUUCGAAGCACAAGAGAGUAUAAACCCUAUGAAUAUAUUUGUUCUUUAUGGGCUCACGUGAUUUUAAAGAAUACACAAUUCGUACCCUAGAUCGUCUUUAACAAAUCAAACUCUGAUUACUUAGAAUAUUCGAUCGGUUUGAUGAAUGAUUAUUCACUUAGAAUAGAAUGGGAAGUUUAUAUCUGUAGUGUUGUACGGUACCGAAAUAGGAUUAUAAAUAUAUAGAACAAGUGUGAAUCGAAACUAUGCUUCAUACACAACCAUAACCAUCACGCAAGACCUACAAGUAACAUCUCAUCAUUCACUUCUUAUGCUUCAUUGAUAGAUAAACGAGGGAGACAUAGGAUAAAGUGCCUCUAUACAUGGUUAUUAAAACUUUAAUUAUAUAUCUGUUUAGUCGGGGAUGACUGUUAUUACAACAACAAAAUUUACUGGAAAUUCUGAUACAUUCUCACGUCACAAAGUCAUAUUUAACUUUGUACCUGACGAAAUAAACCUUAGGACAUAACUUAUAAAGAUUACAAUUUUAAGACUAGUAGACCAUCAGAAAUAAUUGUUGUAGCUGUUUAUUCUUCCACUGCCACAUUGUUUUCUAAUCACUAAUUGGAUUUAUAAACCAACAUAAGGUGUGCCACGCAGACAUUCGUAUUGUCUUGCUACACGGGAAUAUAUCUGCUUCAGUUCAGUAAUAUUCGUAGUUGUCUCCAAUUAGAUUUGAAACUGGAACGAUGAGAUGUAUCACAUUCACUUUGGGACAGUUAAUUUACUUCAGUACUAUUCUGACCAAAUACACACGUGUGAGGUUGACUACGAAAUUCGAUUGUAUGUUCUGCUGAUGAAGGAAAAGUUAUUAAACUAAUCCAGAAAUUUAUCAAUCCAGAACUAUGUGAAUUAUUUUAUGAAUUUUGGUCGGUCCACUUUGCCUGCUUUCAACCCGUGUAUUUUUGAAGUGAAACUUAUAGUGUCUGGACACAUUUGGCGUCUAAGUCAAGCAUAUAGAAUAGCCCACAUUAUACGAAGUUAUACGAAGCACACAUUAUACGAAGACAAAUACCUUUGGCAAAAAUCUAAACGGCCGGCAAAUUAACCAGGGCAGUGUGUCUUUUAUUCAUCGUAAUAAAGAUUUUAUGCCAUAAAUGAGAUGAAAUUGGUUGUGAUGAAAUGAAUGUCACAGUGAAUAGCUGAAUUAUUUCAAUGCGGAUUCGAGAGUUGACCUUGAAAAUUGAGAAGAUGCAUCACUUUUGAUGCAGACUAUGAAGGAUACCAAGUUCUAUAGAAGAAGGGUUACUGUACAAACAUAUGAAAUUUAAAUGUCCUAUGCCAGUUUAUAAACAAACUAGCAUAGGACAUUUAUAAA